AUAUAUUUUAAAAUAUAUAAAGAAAUUACAUUUUUCUUUAAUCAAAAGAUUACAAUUAAAACUGUAUGGAUGAACUUAAAUUUCCGCCAUUUUUGAGGUACUACCUCUCCCACGUUUGAGAGUCUCUGCACCACGAAAUACAACUUUUUAGUAUUAUAGUUGUUUGUAUAAAGAGGUAAAUUUGUAAAUUUACAGAUACAACUUUUAAAAGUCGCUUUUCACGUUGUUUGAAUUGUCUAGAAUCUGUCACGAGGGCAGACAGUACCCCCAAAAAUGGUGGAUUUUGCUCUUCGUGAGAAAGGCUAAUUAACCAGUCAGUGGUCUCGAUCUAUUAUGUGUUGAAAUAUUUAUGGUACAGCAACUAGGACUUUUCUAUCGUUAGUAUUCUUGAAAAGGUCGCAUUAAUUCAUAGUUAUUUUGCAACGAUUUUUGACGCAUUAAUUUGGAUAAAUAUUAAAUCUGUAAUUUUUCAUUUUAUUUUAUGAUGCUUUGUCAUCACAUUGCUGUAUAAUUGUUUUAAUUUGAGCAACUUCACAAAUCAGGAAGUCAAUUUGCACCGCGGCAAAAUUAGAUUUGUGGACAUCUUCGUUCACAGGGCUUCUCGAGAAGCCUUAUGAAUGAAUACUAUUAAAAACAUAAUUACAAACAAACUAUGACAUUUCCAGCACAAGCAGCCAAGCAAUGAGUAAAAUCAAAUAUAAAGC